UGAAGUAGUGGACACAAUCAUUCCUCCACUAAUUCCGGCUUUUUGUUCUAUACGUUCCAUUACUAAUAAUUGUUGCUUUUUCUUCUUUAUGUUUCAUCAUUAAUAAUUGUUGCUUUUUCUUCUUUAUGUUUCAUCAUUAAUAAUUGUUGCUUUUUCUUCUAUACGUUGCAACAACUUAAUAAGUCUUGUUAAGCUGCAUUUUCAUCUACCUUGCAUUUCCUUUCUACACUAAUUUCUCAAAUUAUUCUUACUCUGUUGAACUAAGUUAUGGCGGCUAUUGUUGGAGGAGCAUUUCUAUCGGCUUCUAUGAAGAUAUUAGUGGGAAAGAUUGCUUCUGGCGAGUUUGUUACUUUAUUUCGGAGGACUAAGCUUAACGAUGAGCUGUUGGAUAAGCUGAAUGUAUCACUGCUGAGUCUUCAAUCUGUACUUUAUGAUGCUGAGGACAAACAGAUCACUAACCCUGCUGUCAAGAAGUGGCUGGAGAUGUUGCAAGAUGCUGUCUUUCAAGCUGACCAACUGUUCGACGAACUCAACACUGAAGCUUUAAGGUGCCAAGCUGAAGGUGGUCAGGUUCUUAAUAAGUUUUUGUCGUAUUUUAAAAGGUUUAAUAAAAAGAUCAAUUCUAAACUGCAAAAACUAUUUGGAAGGUUAGAACAUUUGAGAAACCAAAAUCUCGGAUUGAAAGAAGGUGUUUCCAGCUGUGUUAGGAAUAUAACUCCUACAAGUCCUUUUUUAGGAGAUGAAUCUGCUAUUUAUGGCAGAGAUGAUGACAUAAAGAAACUCAAAGAGUUUUUGCUGUCAGAGGAUGGUUAUGAUAGUGGAAAUAAAAUAGGAGUGAUUUCCAUUGUGGGUAUGGGAGGGUUAGGAAAAACAACACUAGCUAAACUCCUUUACCAUGACCGCGACGUGAAGGAGAAGUUUGAAGUCAGCGGGUGGGCACAUAUUCCAAAAGAUUUUGAUGUUGUCACUAUCACUAAAACCAUUCUUAAAUCUGUCACUUCAGGAACAAUUACAGAAACUGACUUAGUUAAACUCGAAGAUCAGUUGCAGCAAAGUUUAAGUAACAAAAAGUUUUUGUUAGUACUGGAUGAUAUAUGGUAUGGAAACUAUGUUGGUUGGAAUAGUCUAAGUGGUAUCUUUAAUGUUGGACAAAUAGGAAGUAAGAUUAUCAUCACAACUCGAGAUGUAAGAGUCGCACUACCCAAGCAAAAAUCUGUCUAUGUCCACCAUUUGAGAUCUUUGGAAACUGAAGAUUCCUGGUCUUUAUUAGCCCAACAUGCAUUUGUAGAAACAAACUACCAACAACAUCCCAAUUUAGAAAUAACUGGUAGAGAAAUUUCCAAAAAAAUUGGUGGCUUACCAUUAGCUGCAGUAGCAUUGGGGGGUAUUCUUCGCACCAAUUUGUCACAAGAUCAUUGGAAUGAUGUAUUAAACAGUAGUAUAUGGGAACAUACAAAUGAUGAGGUGCAACCAGCUUUGCUAUUGAGCUAUCAGUUUCUUCCAGCUUCCUUAAAAGGAUGUUUUGCUUAUUUGUCAAUUUUUCCGAAGAACUCAAUCUUAGUGAAAGCGAUGGUGGCUCGGUUGUGGAUUGCAGAAGGCUUAGUACCUUGUCCGGAAAUUGAGAAAAGUUGGGAAAAAGUAGCAGAAAAAUACUUUGAUGAACUAGUGUCAAGGUCUCUGAUACGUCAACGGUUCGUUGCUCAUGAGGAAAACAGUUUUGAAAUGCAUGAUCUAAUCAAUGAUUUAGCUAUGGCAGUUUCAUUUCCGUAUUGCAUUAGAUUGGACGAACAUAAGUCAGAUGAAAGGGUGCGACACUUGUCAUACGACAUAGUAGAAUAUAACUCAUACAAUAAAUUUGAAAAAUUGCAUGGACUAAAAGGUCUACGGACCAUUUUACCCAUGCGGUUGCAAGCUUCAUCUGGGUAUGACGAUUCGGAGUCGUGGAAGUUAUUUUCUGACUUGUUGUCAAAAAUGACACACUUACACGUGUUGUCACUUUCACCCUACCAAAAUAUCACUGAGUUGCCCAAAUCAAUUGGAAAUUUGACGUAUCUGCGAUACCUGAAUCUCUCUCAAACUUGGAUUAAAAGUUUGCCUUCAGAAACAUGCAAGCUUUAUAAUUUACAGACGUUGUUAUUGUCAAGAUGCAACAAACUUGCUAAAUUGCCAAAGGACAUUGGAAAAUUGGUGAAACUACGCCACCUUGACAUCAAUGGCACUCCAUUGGAGGAAAUGCCUAUACAGUUAUCUAGACUAGAAAAUCUACAAACAUUGUCCAAUUUUAUUGUGAGCAGCGAUAACGAUGUUGGAUUGAAGAUUCAAGAUCUUGGAAAAUUUCACCAUCUAAAAGGAAGCCUUUCCAUCUCACAUCUUGAAAAUGUAAUUGACUCGUCUCAAGCUUCUCAAGCAAACUUGGAGAUGAAAAACGAAAUUGACAAGUUGGAACUAGAGUGGUCUCACAUUGCUCCUUCAAACUCACAAAUACAAAGUGUUGUAUUGGAGCAACUGCGCCCAUCGAUAAAUUUGAAGAGUUUGACCAUCUCUGGAUAUGGUGGAGACAAAUUAUCAAAUUGGGUGGGAGGUCCUUUAUUCGUAAACAUGGUGUGUUUGAGGAUCACAAGGUGUAAAAAUAUUUCAGUGCUGCCAUCCCUGGGACAACUCGGUAAUCUAAAACAACUUUUUUUUAGUGAGAUGAAAUCUGUAAAAAGUGUCGGUACCGUAUUCUAUGGAAGUGGUUCUUCUUCAUUUCAACCAUUUACCUCUUUAGAGAUUCUAAGCUUUGAAGAUAUGGCAGAGUGGGAGGAAUGGAAGUUGAUUGGAGGUACAUCUAUAGAGUUUCCUAAUCUUUUAAGCUUAUCAUUAAAUAAUUGUCCGAAACUGAAAGAAAACAUACCUGGCAACCUUCCUAAGCUUGAAAGUUUGUCACUUGAAAAUUGUCCCGAACUUAAAGGGAUGGCACCCAACAAUCUUCCUUCACUUGCCAACCUUAACUUAAGGGAUUGUCCCUUAUUGAUGGGGUCAACACAUUCUAUUACAAACCCACCAUCUGACGUAUUCAGCCAAUUGGUGAUUUGUCUCAAUUCUCUUCAAAAGUUGACCUUAUACAGAAUUCCAUCUCUAACAUCCUUUCCGAGAGACGGUCUUCCCAAAACCUUACAAUCUCUCUAUAUCAUUUCCUGUGAGAAUCUGGAAUUCUUUUCUCAUGAAUCUUUUCAUAAUUACUCAUCACUGGAGGAAUUGAGGAUAUCUGGUAGUUGUAAUUCAAUGACAUCAUUUACCUUGGGCUCUCUCCCUGUCCUCAAAAGUCUAGUUAUUGAGAAUUGUGAACAUUUAAAAUCCAUAUCAAUAGCAGAAGAUGCAUCGGAACCAAAUCUAGUGUUUCUUAGAACCAUCACAAUAUGGAGCUGUGAUGAACUGGAAUCAGUUUCCUUAAAUCGAUUACCCAUUCCUAAACUCACUUAUUUAUGUUUGCGGAGUUGUGAGAAGUUAAGUUCUCUACGAUUCACUCAAACUAGCCUUCAAGAAAUGGAAAUUCGUGAGCUUCCAAAUCUUCAAUCUUUUCCCAUAGAUGAUUUGCCGAUCACUUUGCGGGAACUGUCGGUUAGUAAUGUUGGAGGGAUUUUGUGUAAUACAACUUGGCAACAUCACACGUCUCUUUCAAAGCUGGCUAUUAGGGGUGAUGAUAUUGUGAAGGGGGUGAUGAAAAGGCAAGUUCCAUUUCUACCCACUAAUCUCGUUUCCUUAGUGAUCUGUGAUCUUAAAGAUAUAGAAUGCUUGGAUGGGAAGUGGCUUCAACAUCUCACCUCUCUCCAUACACUUCACAUUUCUAAUGCACCCAAACUCAAGUCAUUGCCAGAAAAGGGGGAAUUUCCUUCCUCUCUUAAAGAACUGCAUAUCAUAAGAUGUCCGCUGUUGAAAGUAAAUUUGCAGAGGAAGAAAGGGAAAGAGUGGCGUAAGAUAUCUCACAUUCCCUCAAUAUAUAUAGAAUUGGAAAUCAUCAAAUGAGUAAUUACAUCAAGGUUUUAACUCCAUUUGGGGUUCAAAUUGAAAUGGAAUGCUUCCUCGUUCUCACAUCAAAACCCCUUUGAUUCUUCAUUAUAUUGUUGCUGCUGACAUGGAGAAGAUUCUAAGAGAAGAAACAGCAAAACAAGAGACAACAACUGAAAGAAAGGUUUUAUGAACUUGGAAUAAUAUGGAUGUCACAAACAAACAGAAUUGCAAGAAAGUGUUUGUAUCUCCUCUGAAGCAUUUAACCAAAUGUUUCACUCUCCAAGGCUACAACAUAGUUGUUAUAACGCUUUUGACAAACAUGUUACGUGUCGAUGAAUUUGAAUCCCAACUUUCAAAGCAUGGAAGUCUUUAAGAAACAAUACUUUUAUGACUAGCACAUAUAUGCUUCCUCAACAUUGUUCUGCAUGGCUACAGAUUGCUAGUAUUUUUUCGGAAUACGUGAAAAAUAUGGCCCAACUGCAGUUUCUAUAGACCAGUUCUCAUUUUUACACAUCUCUAAUCUUAAAGAGAUAUAAUGCCUGGAUGGAAAGUAACUUCAACACGUAGUCAGAAGAGGGAAAGCAAGUUUGUGGAAGAAACGAUGAAAAGAGUAAUAUUGGGGGCUGAAAUUCAGAAUUCCAACUGCAGACAAAGUCAGAUUUCUAAGAUGGUGAAGAUUCUAAGAGAGAAAAUUGCAAGCUAGCUAGAAAACAAGUACAACUGUUGGGCACACUCAUGGAGAAAUCUGGAGGAAUUGCAAAAUUACUCAUGGAUCAACUGGACCUCACAAACCAAGAGGAUCACCGAAGAAGCAUUUAACGAAAUGAUGCACUCUGCAAGACUUCAUGGUUAUUCUGAAAAGGCCUUUGUUAAAAGUAUGUUUGAUUUUGGAUUGUUUUGCAUUGGGAAGGAGUUUGUUAAAGCUGCCACCGAUACUAUUUUGAUAACAUUAUGGAACCUCAAAAGUAGAUCUGUCCAAUGAUAUUCCCUUCAAAUCUGAAUGGUCGAUAUCCGGAAAUUUCCAUACGUCUGCAGAGAGAUCCUCCACAUCAGUCAAGACACAUUCAUCCUAUAUUUGAGGCAUUCAAAAAUGGAGUAUCCCCGCCACCUUCAAGGAAAAGAAGAGAGCCAUCUUGGAAAGACUAAGAGUUUAGUUGAUCAUAGCAACAACUUUGCCUAGUUUUGUCAUAGGCAUGCAACACCUUUUUAUUGAAAAUUAGAAGAGUUGGCAAAUGCGAUCAUAAGGAGAAAAUUAGAGAGCGUGGCUAAGGAAAGGAUCUACGAUGUGUUCUUGAGUUUCAGAGGGGAAGACUGUCGUGCAAAAUUCAUUUCACAUCUCUAUACCUCCCUUGAAAAUGCCAGGAUUUAUGUUUUCAAAGACGAUGAUGGGAUUCGACGAGGAGAUCAGAUCUCAGUCUCACUUUUGGAAGCAAUUGGACUGUCUAGAAUCUGUAUCGUUGUUUUGUCAAGUAACUAUGCUAAUUCAAGAUGGUGUAUGCUAGAUGUGGAGAACAUCAUGGAAAUUGGCAGAAGCAAGAGUCUGGUGGUUAUACCAGUGUUCUAUGAGGUAGAUCCCUCAGAAGAGAGCCAUCAUGGAAAGACUCAAGAGUUUGGUUGAUCAUAGCAACAACUUUGCCUAGUUUUGUUGGAGACAUUGCAACACCUUGUUAUUGAUUUUUGUUUUCUGUAACAUGUAAAACAUAAAUAUGAUUAAUAUAACGGAACUACAGCUGCUCUGUAGUCGGAGACGUAGGCACAACUGGCCGAACUUCGUUAUCAAAUAUCGUGUGUUCUCUUUAUGUAUUUUUGUCGUAUUUGUUUAGUUUUGAAUUGGAAUUGUCGUUCUAACAAUUUAAAAUACAUUGAAUUUUGAA